UAANCACUCCGCCUGGGGAGUACGACCGCAAGGUUGAAACUCGAAGGAAUUGACGGGGGCCCGCACAAGCGGUGGAGCAUGUGGUUUAAUUCGAAGCAACGCGAAGAACCUUACCAGGUCUUGACAUACCGAUGCUAUUCUUAGAGAUAGGAAGUUACUUCGGUACAUCGGAGACAGGUGGUGCAUGGUUGUCGUCAGCUCGUGUCGUGAGAUGUUGGGUUAAGUCCCGCAACGAGCGCAGCCCUUAUUGUUAGUUGCCAUCAUUAAGUUGGGCACUCUAGCGAGACUGCCGGUAAUAAACCGGAGGAAGGUGGGGAUGACGUCAAAUCAUCAUGCCCCUUAUGACCUGGGCUACACACGUGCUACAAUGGUCGGUACAACGAGUUGCGAGCCGGUGACGGCAAGCUAAUCUCUGAAAGCCGAUCUCAGUUCGGAUUGGAGGCUGCAACUCGCCUCCAUGAAGUCGGAAUCGCUAGUAAUCGCGGAUCAGCACGCCGCGGUGAAUACGUUCCCGGGCCUUGUACACACCGCCCGUCACACCACGAGAGUUUGUAACACC
rnacentral:rRNA from 1 species